rnacentral:rRNA from 1 species
CCUGUAGAGAUGACGUUGGGAACGCGAGCGGCGGAUGGGUGAGUAACACGUGGGGAACCUGCCCCAUAGUCUGGGAUACCACUUGGAAACAGGUGCUAAUACCGGAUAAGAAAGCAGAUCGCAUGAUCAGCUUAUAAAAGGCGGCGUAAGCUGUCGCUAUGGGAUGGCCCCGCGGUGCAUUAGCUAGUUGGUAGGGUAACGGCCUACCAAGGCAAUGAUGCAUAGCCGAGUUGAGAGACUGAUCGGCCACAUUGGGACUGAGACACGGCCCAAACUCCUACGGGAGGCAGCAGUAGGGAAUCUUCCACAAUGGACGAAAGUCUGAUGGAGCAACGCCGCGUGAGUGAAGAAGGUUUUCGGAUCGUAAAGCUCUGUUGUUGGUGAAGAAGGAUAGAGGUAGUAACUGGCCUUUAUUUGACGGUAAUCAACCAGAAAGUCACGGCUAACUACGUGCCAGCAGCCGCGGUAAUACGUAGGUGGCAAGCGUUGUCCGGAUUUAUUGGGCGUAAAGCGAGCGCAGGCGGAAGAAUAAGUCUGAUGUGAAAGCCCUCGGCUUAACCGAGGAACUGCAUCGGAAACUGUUUUUCUUGAGUGCAGAAGAGGAGAGUGGAACUCCAUGUGUAGCGGUGGAAUGCGUAGAUAUAUGGAAGAACACCAGUGGCGAAGGCGGCUCUCUGGUCUGCAACUGACGCUGAGGCUCGAAAGCAUGGGUAGCGAACAGGAUUAGAUACCCUGGUAGUCCAUGCCGUAAACGAUGAGUGCUAAGUGUUGGGAGGUUUCCGCCUCUCAGUGCUGCAGCUAACGCAUUAAGCACUCCGCCUGGGGAGUACGACCGCAAGGUUGAAACUCAAAGGAAUUGACGGGGGCCCGCACAAGCGGUGGAGCAUGUGGUUUAAUUCGAAGCAACGCGAAGAACCUUACCAGGUCUUGACAUCUAGUGCAAUCCGUAGAGAUA